rnacentral:tRNA from 1 species
UCCCUGGUGGCUCAGAGGUUAAAGCGUCUGCCUGCAAUGUAGGAGACCUGGGUUCGGUCCCUGGUUUGGGAA